UACGGCUCAGUAACACGUGGAUAACCUGCCCUUGGGUCCGGCAUAACCCCGGGAAACUGGGGAUAAUUCCGGAUAACGCACAUAUGCUGGAAUGCUUUAUGCGUAAAAUGGAUUCGUCUGCCCAAGGAUGGGUCUGCGGCCUAUCAGGUAGUAGUGGGUGUAAUGUACCUACUAGCCUACAACGGGUACGGGUUGUGAGAGCAAGAGCCCGGAGAUGGAUUCUGAGACAUGAAUCCAGGCCCUACGGGGCGCAGCAGGCGCGAAAACUUUACAAUGCGGGAAACCGUGAUAAGGGGACACCGAGUGCCAGCAUCAUAUGCUGGCUGUCCAGGUGUGUAAAAUACACCUGUUAGCAAGGGCCGGGCAAGACCGGUGCCAGCCGCCGCGGUAACACCGGCGGCCCGAGUGGUGAUCGUGAUUAUUGGGUCUAAAGGGUCCGUAGCCGGUUUGGUCAGUCCUCCGGGAAAUCUGACGGCUCAACCGUUAGGCUUUCGGGGGAUACUGCCAGGCUUGGAACCGGGAGAGGUAAGAGGUACUACAGGGGUAGGAGUGAAAUCUUGUAAUCCCUGUGGGACCACCUGUGGCGAAGGCGUCUUACCAGAACGGGUUCGACGGUGAGGGACGAAAGCUGGGGGCACGAACCGGAUUAGAUACCCGGGUAGUCCCAGCCGUAAACGAUGCUCGCUAGGUGUCAGGCAUGGCGCGACCGUGUCUGGUGCCGCAGGGAAGCCGUGAAGCGAGCCACCUGGGAAGUACGGCCGCAAGGCUGAAACUUAAAGGAAUUGGCGGGGGAGCACA
rnacentral:rRNA from 1 species